rnacentral:rRNA from 1 species
AUUGAACGCUGGCGGCAGGCUUAACACAUGCAAGUCGAGCGAGCGGCGGACGGGUGAGUAAUGUCUGGGAAACUGCCUGAUGGAGGGGGAUAACUACCGGAAACGGUAGCUAAUACCGCAUACCAUCAGAUGGGCCCAGAUGGGAUUAGCGAGUAGGUGGGGGAAUGGCUCACCUAGACGACGAUCCCUAACUGGUCUGAGAGGAUGAACAGCCACCGUGGAACUGAGACACGGUCCAGACUCCUACGGGAGGCAGCAGUGGGGAAUAUUGCACAAUGGGCGCAAGCCGUAUUCAGCCAUGCCGCGUGUGUGAAGAAGGCCUUCGGGUUUUAAAGCACUUUCAGCGAGGAGGCGUUACUCGCAGAAGAAGCACCGGCUAACUCCGUGCCAGCAGCCGCGGUAAUUC